UCUUGGAUACGAUCGUCUAAGCGGCCGCUGACGAUCGUAUCCAAGCAGCUGCCUACACCAGAAUGCUCUUUAUUUCCCAGGAUUCUCUCUCUUCCUGCCAGUGUCCCACCUCCCAUGAUUCUGCCUCAGCUCAUUGGCCAUUGGUUUUUUUAUUGACAGGUGAUAUUUCUAAGAGAUUCUCUACAGAAAUUUCUAACACAUCAGAAGGAAACCUCUUGCUCUCUCUUUCUCUGUAGGUACUGGGAAUUGAAUCUGAGUCCUCUAUGAGAGUAGCCAAUGCUCUUAACCACUGAACCAUCUCUCUACCUCCAUCCUUUUUGAGACAAGAUCUUCACAAAGCUCAGGUGGACUCUACUCCCUGCUCGCAGCUUUCCUUGGGGUCGCCACUGGAGCUCCAGCUUCCAUCCCAGAGCUUCAGCUAUCACACCUAAGAAGAGCCUGGAAGGUUUCUUACCCUCAUGUAGUUUCCCAGACUCCCAGGUCUUUCUUUGAAAUCUAGUUGAAAGUUGUUCUACCCUUAACAAUCCAAGACAUUUCUGCACAUUGCAAAACCACAACAUGAAUGAUGCUGAGGUUUUCUGGA